GACGAACGCUGGCGGCGUGCUUAACACAUGCAAGUCGAACGGAAAGGCCCUGCUUUUGUGGGGUGCUCGAGUGGCGAACGGGUGAGUAACACGUGAGUAACCUGCCCUUGACUUUGGGAUAACUUCAGGAAACUGGGGCUAAUACCGGAUAGGAGCUCCUGCUGCAUGGUGGGGGUUGGAAAGUUUCGGCGGUUGGGGAUGGACUCGCGGCUUAUCAGCUUGUUGGUGGGGUAGUGGCUUACCAAGGCUUUGACGGGUAGCCGGCCUGGGAGGGUGACCGGCCACAUUGGGACUAAGAUACGGCCCAGACUCCUACGGGAGGCAGCAGUGGGGAAUAUUGCACAAUGGGCGGAAGCCUGAUGCAGCAACGCCGCGUGCGGGAUGACGGCCUUCGGGUUGUAAACCGCUUUCGCCUGUGACGAAGCGUGAGUGACGGUAAUGGGUAAAGAAGCACCGGCUAACUACGUG
rnacentral:rRNA from 1 species